GCAUGACCCAUGGGUUUGGCACGACCCGACCCACUUAAGAUGGGCCGUGCCUUGCCACCACCCAUAAUAGUUUUUUUUUGAAUUUUAAAAAUAAAUUUUUUAUCAAUUUAAAAAAGGUUAGGGAGUAAAUAUAAAAAAGAUGAAAGGAUGUUGGAUUUUUUUUUUUGUAAAAAUAAAAAGUCUCCUUGUAAUGGUGGGGGGUUUGACAUGGACCCCUAUCAAUUUAUUAAUAAAAAUCAAAAUGGUACAAGAGAGGGAGGGGACUAGGCCUGACCUCCAAAAUACAAUGACAGAG
rnacentral:lncRNA from 1 species